rnacentral:lncRNA from 1 species
AGAUCUCCACGAUCAGCUCCUUCGUCCAUCAGCGUCCCAGCCGUCCGCCUCCUCCGUUCUUCCGCGAAGCACGCGCGAUUCUCCCGCACCCAAACGUCCGCCCGAGCCUGUGAAGCCGCCUCCUCCAUCCCGCAGCCGGCUCUUCAGCCAUUCCUUUUCCGCGUGUGAGCCAGCGUCCAUCUUGCAUCCCCUGAGUUCCCAGCAUCUUCGCAUCCUUCUGCAACGGAACAAGCAAGGAAUCCCAAGUCCCGCGAUCACCUCCCGGAUCCACGAUCUGCUCAUCUUCCGCUUGCCUCACACGCCUCCCAGCCGUUCGUGAGGUUCAUAGCAGCAUCCCGAGCCCAACACCCAGCUGUCCGUGGUGGUCUCCUUCCUCCCGGAUCCGUGAUCUGAUUUUCAGCGCCGGAUCCAGCCGCGAUUACCUCCCACCCCAUUCAUCCCGUUCGUCCGCUCAUCCCAGCACUCGUCCACGCCCCAUCUCCUGCGUUCGAUCCAAUCAUCCGAAUCCCAAGCGCCAGCAGUCCAAGCUUCAUCUUCAGCUCUCACUCGCUUCCGGAUCUUCCUCCCCACCAGCGCAUCAUCCGAGUCCCAGCGAUUUUCCAGCAUCUGAGUCCCAGAUUCCAGCGUCCGUUUUGAUUUGCUUGGAAGAUUAUUCAAAAUUUGGGGAGGUUUUCAUUGUAUAAAAAGGAACAGGGGGGAUCGGUUCAAAGAGGGCUCAUUUUGGGGGGGAGAAGAAGAGGAAGAACAGAGGCGCGGGGGGGAGCUCCAGCCGUUUGGGAAGAAAAAAAAGAAAAAGAAACAGGGUAUGCCCUGUUUCGGAAAAGAAAAAGGAAAAAAAAAAAAAGGGGAGUUGAUGUUUGUAAUGGCUUGCUAACUCUUUUGGCAAAGGGUGAUGGAUGAAUCCUUGUCAUGUUGCUCUCAUGAAGUAUACUCU